GUGAGGGAUGAAAGCUGGGGGAGCAAACCGGAUUAGAUACCCGGGUAGUCCCAGCUGUAAACGAUGCAGACUCGAUGAUGCAUUGGCAUAUAGCCAGUGCAGUGUCGCAGGGAAGCCGUUAAGUCUGCCGCCUGGGAAGUACGUACGCAAGUAUGAAACUUAAAGGAAUUGGCGGGGGAGCACCACAAGGGGUGAAGCCUGCGGUUCAAUUGGAGUCAACGCCAGAAAUCUUACCCGGAGAGACAGCAGAAUGAAGGUCAAGCUGAAGACUUUACCAGACAAGCUGAGAGGUGGUGCAUGGCCGUCGCCAGCUCGUGCCGUGAGAUGUCCUGUUAAGUCAGGUAACGAGCGAGAUCCCUGCCACUAGUUGCUAUCAUUAUUCUCAGGAAUAGUGGGGCGAAUUAGUGGGACUGCCGUUGUUAAAACGGAGGAAGGAAGGGGCUACGGCAGGUCAGUAUGCCCCGAAACUCUGGGGCCACACGCGGGCUGCAA
rnacentral:rRNA from 1 species